rnacentral:rRNA from 1 species
GUCUGCUAUCGGAUUGAUACUAAGCCAUGCGAGACAUUGUAGCAAUACAAGGCAGACGGCUCAGUAACGCGUAGUCAACCUAACCUAUGGACGGGAAUAACCUCGGGAAACUGAGAAUAAUGCCCGAUAGAACACUAUGCCUGGAAUGGUUUGUGUUCCAAAUGAUUUAUCGCCGUAGGAUGGGACUGCGGCCUAUCAGUUUGUUGGUGAGGUAAUGGCCCACCAAGACUAUUACAGGUACGGGCUCUGAGAGGAGUAGCCCGGAGAUGGGUACUGAGACACGGACCCAGGCCCUAUGGGGCGCAGCAGGCGAGAAAACUUUGCAAUGUGCGAAAGCACGACAAGGUUAAUCCGAGUGGUUUCUGCUAAAGGAACCUUUUGUCGGUCCUAGAAACACCGAUGAAUAAGGGGUGGGCAAGUUCUGGUGUCAGCCGCCGCGGUAAAACCAGCACCUCAAGUGGUCAGGAUGAUUAUUGGGCCUAAAGCAUCCGUAGCCUGCUUUGUUAGUUUUCGGUUAAAUCUAUGCGCUCAACGUAUAGGCUGCCGGGGAUACUGCAAAGCUAGGGAGUGGGGGAGGUAGACGGUACUCGGUAGGAAGGGGUAAAAUCCUUUGAUCUAUUGAUGACCACCUGUGGCGAAGGCGGUCUACCAGAACACGUCCGACGGUGAGGGAUGAAAGCUGGGGGAGCAAACCGGAUUAGAUACCCGGGUAGUCCCAGCCGUAAACCAUGCAAACUCAGUGAUGCAUUGGCUUGUGGCCAAUGCAGUGCUGCAGGGAAGCCGUUAAGUUUGCCGCCUGGGAAGUACGUACGCAAGUAUGAAACUUAAAGGAAUUGGCGGGGGAGCACCACAAGAGGUGAAGCCUGCGGUUCAAUUGGAGUC